ACUGAACGCUGGCGGCAGGCCUAACACAUGCAAGUCGAGCGGAUGAAGAGAGCUUGCUCUCUGAUUCAGCGGCGGACGGGUGAGUAAUGCCUAGGAAUCUGCCUGGUAGUGGGGGACAACGUUUCAAAAGGAACGCUAAUACCGCAUACGUCCUACGGGAGAAAGUGGGGGAUCUUCGGACCUCACGCUAUCAGAUGAGCCUAGGUACGAUCAGCUAGUUGGUGAGGUAAAGGCUCACCAAGGCGACGAUCGUUAACUGGUCUGAGAGGAUGAUCAGUCACACUGGAACUGAGACACGGUCCAGACUCCUACGGGAGGCAGCAGUGGGGAAUACUGGACAAUGGGCGAAAGCCUGAUCCAGCCAUGCCGCGUGUGUGAAGAAGGUCUUCGGAUUGUAAAGCACUUUAAGUUGGGAGGAAGGGCAGUAAGUUAAUACCUUGCUGUUUUGACGUUACCGACAGAAUAAGCACCGGCUAACUUCGUGCCAGCAGCCGCAGUAAGAC
rnacentral:rRNA from 1 species